rnacentral:rRNA from 1 species
CCGGAGAAUGUUAUCACGGGAGACACACGGCGGGUGCUAACGUCCGUCGUGAAGAGGGAAACAACCCAGACCGCCAGCUAAGGUCCCAAAGUCAUGGUUAAGUGGGAAACGAUGUGGGAAGGCCCAGACAGCCAGGAUGUUGGCUUAGAAGCAGCCAUCAUUUAAAGAAAGCGUAAUAGCUCACUGGUCGAGUCGGCCUGCGCGGAAGAUGUAACGGGGCUAAACCAUGCACCGAAGCUGCGGCAGCGACGCUGAUGCGUUGUUGGGUAGGGGAGCGUUCUGUAAGCCUGUGAAGGUGKSYYGUGAGGSWUGCUGGAGGUAUCAGAAGUGCGAAUGCUGACAUAAGUAACGAUAAAGCGGGUGAAAAGCCCGCUCGCCGGAAGACCAAGGGUUCCUGUCCAACGUUAAUCGGGGCAGGGUGAGUCGACCCCUAAGGCGAGGCCGAAAGGCGUAGUCGAUGGGAAACGGGUUAAUAUUCCCGUACUUGGUGUUACUGCGAAGGGGGGACGGAGAAGGCUAUGUUGGCCGGGCGACGGUUGUCCCG